CCACUUGGCGAUCCCGUCAGGCAGGCCAUGGCUGCCGUGCCUUGCAGGGAACAGCAGCACAGGAAGCCCAGGAGCCGGGAAGCCCAAGCUGCACCCGCAGUACAUGAAGUUUACAGGCAAGGAGUCGAAUCGGAGCUGUAGCUGCUAGCCUGUGCCAUAGCCACAGCAACUCGGGAUCCAAGCUGAAUCUGCAAUCUAUACCACAGCUCACGGCCCGCAACACGGGAUCCUUAACCCACUAAGCAGGGCCAGGGAUCGAACCCAGGUCCUCAUGGAUACCAGCCAAGUUUGUUUGUUUGUUUGGUCUUUUGUCUUUUUAGGGCCGAACCCAAAGCAUAUGGGGGUUCCCAGGCUAGGGGCUGAAUCGGAGCUACAGCUGCUGGCCUACACCACAGCCACAGCAACGCAGGAUCGGAGCCAUGUCUGUGACCUACACUGACAGCUCAUGGCAACGCCGGAUCCUUAAUCCACUGAGCGAGGCCGGGGAUCGAACCCUCAACCUCAUGGUUCCUAGUCGGGUUUGUUAACCACUGAGCCACAAUGGGAACUCCCUGAGCUUACCAUUCUAGAUUAUCUUCCAGGCUCUGGGAUAUGGAAUUCCCUGCCCAAAAGGUCCUGAGCCCACUCCCAAGACCUGGGUCUGUCCACCCAAGGGACUGUGCUACUGGUGUGUGCAAGCUAGCCUGCGAGGCGGAAAAGGAAGCCGUUUGCGGGGUGGGGGAGAGGUGUGCCUGAGAGCUUGGACACGGGGCCUGGUUCACGGGGCUGCACACAAGGACUCUGCGGUGGGGAGGAAACAGUGGGGAGAGGAGGAACCCGGCAGGUGGACUGCCUUUGAGAUCUUGCCCCGGGCUGCACACGUGAGGGGUGAUCUGCCCUAUGGAGGGACCAUUGCCAGGGAAGUCCCAGGGUGUUAGUUAGACGCUUUGAUCCAAUGAUGGACCAGUUUUGCCUGUAGAUUCCCAGAUCCCCACCCGCCGCGGAAAAUCAUAUUCCUGAGUCUGGGAGAAGAUCUUGGAAUUUCCACGUCUAACAAAGAUGGCCAGAGGCCAUGCUGGUGCUCUGUGUUCAGAAACCUGUUUAAUUCUCCCAAUAACCCUGCAAAGGAGGUAGCCAGGAGGACACAGGCUGGCGAGGAGACCUGCCUAAGACUUCAGAGCUGCUGUAGGACAGAACUGCGACAGGUCACCGUCCUGCCAUGUCUACUUCCUUGACAGCCGAGAAUCAGUCCCCGCCUUCCACUGACCUUGGAUGGAAGGUCGUCCCCUGUUCAGGAUUCAUCAUCUCUUACAAAGACCGCUGGCCCCUCCAAGCCACUGAAUAUGUGGCAGCCGGAGUGAUGUCUAGGAAAACAAGGGACAUGUCAUGCCUUGUUGACACUCUUCAGUGGCUCCAGUCGCAGUGCCCUUCGACUAAAAGCCAAACUCCGAGUUAUCUUUUGGUGCCGUGGAUGAAGGAGCCAGUGUUGUCACUGCAGCAGCUUAGGUCGCUGCUGUGGUGUGGCAUGGGAGUGAAAAAAAACCCUCAAAAAACAAAAAGCCAAACUCUUCUGCACUCUCCAGCAGCACUGAGAGGCUUUGUAAGUCCUCCGAAUUUCUGCUACUUUUCACUUCUAUGCCUUUUUUUUCUUUUUGUCUUUUUUUAGGGCCCCACUGGUGGCAUAUAGAGGUUCCCAGGCUAGGGGUCGAAUCAGAGCUACAGCUGUCCACCCACACCACAGCCACAGCAACGCGGGAUCCAAGCUGCGUCUUCGACCUACACCACAGAUCUUGGCAACGCCGGAUCCCCAUCCCACCGAGUGAGGCCAGGGAUCGAACCCGCAACCACAUGGUUCUUAGUCGGAUUCAAUUCUGCUGUGCCACGACGAGACCUCCUCACCUCUACGUCUUUACUGCUGCUGUUCCCUCUUCCCUUUGGCUUCCUGGCUAACUGCUACUCCCUAAGAUUCCAACCAGCCUGGCCUCCUCUGGGAAGUCCAGGCUGGGUUAGGCCUCCUACUCUGGGCUCCAAAAGUCUCUCUUCCUGCACUUGCCCCCUGCAGUAAUAAUAAUAGCUGAUAGUUUCUGAGU
rnacentral:lncRNA from 1 species